rnacentral:rRNA from 1 species
GAUGAACGCUGGCGGCGUGCCUAACACAUGCAAGUCGAGCGGCAGCGAGGGGUGCUUGCACCCUGUCGGCGAGCGGCGGACGGCUGAGUAACGCGUGGGAACGUUCCCCAAAGUGAGGAAUAACUGCCCGAAAGGGUAGCUAAUACCGCAUAUUAUCUUCGGAUCAAAGGAUUUAUCCGCUUUGGGAGCGGCUCGCGUCGGAUUAGGUAGUUGGUGAGGUAAUGGCUCACCAAGCCGACGAUCCGUAGCUGGUCUGAGAGGAUGACCAGCCAGACUGGAACUGAGACACGGUCCAGACUCCUACGGGAGGCAGCAGUGAGGAAUCUUCCACAAUGGGCGAAAGCCUGAUGGAGCAACGCCGCGUGCAGGACGAAGGCCUUCGGGUUGUAAACUGCUUUUAUAAGUGAGGAAUAUGACGGUAACUUAUGAAUAAGGAGCGGCUAACUACGUG